CCGUCUCGGCUCGAGCGCGGUCCGGAUUUUAGCUCCACACUGUCGCCAGCCAGACUCCCCACCACAGUGACACAAACCAACCAGCCGCCUCGAGAGGUUGCUGAAGAGGUAUGCAGCGAUGGUCUGGAGGAAAAAAUAGUCACAUGGACUGGUGUGCAUUCCAGUACUUGAAAUGAUGCUGUUGCUCAG